CACUCCCUCCAUUUUUUCCCCAAUCUUUUUCGCCCUAGAAACUUUCGCCACACAACAACAAAAUACACUGUCUCCUUCUUCUUCUUCUUCUAACUUCUCUUUUCCUCUUCAAUCGCCAUCGCUUUUACACCUCCCAGAUUCACAUGGAGAAACUAUUCUAGAAGAAACAAACAGUUCCACACACCGGUGGCUCCAAACCUAAUUCUAGAAGAAGGGCUGAAAUGAUGGCUGAGACAGGGAGAAAGCCUGGACGAGCACAACUUUAUCUUGCUACACAUACGAAAAAUGAUGGAUCAUAUGUAAAUGAGGAGGCAAAAGAAAUAUGUGUAAGUUACAUUCAUGAUUGUUAUAAAUACAAAUGAUUUUCAUGGAGUGAUUUAUAUUCUGAAGAUCUCUAUAUGUUUUGGCACAUGAUUUCAUUUCUAUUCAUAGUAGCAUCAAUCUUUUUUGACCGAAGAAAAUUAUCCGUAAGCAACAAAAUUCAGCAUAUACAGCUUUAUAUCAUUUCCAGCCUUUAAUUAAAUUAAAUGGGCCAAAUGGUUUUGCUACUACCUUAUUUUACAAAAGACAUUAUUUUACUUAAGUCACAACCAUUUAGUAUAAAUAAACGCAGAAGUGCUCAUUUGUUUCUGUAGCAGCUAGAAAAGACAACAUUUAGUAUCAUUUGUCACUCCCUACCACAACAAUAUUAUCCUUAGUACUCAAACUGCAGUGUAUACUAAUACUAAGAUGAUUAGAUUUAGGUAUAUAAACUAAAAAGUGGUAUUUUUUUUUUUACCACCCAAUAUAAAUCAAGGAAUUCUGUUUUCCUAUCAGCAGUGCCCCUCUUCCAUCCUUGAGAGAGUUUCUGUUAAUGGGCAUCCUCUUUGUGCCAAAUUAUUUGUUAAGAAAAGGAAUUAUUUGUUUGGUUGGAAACCUUUCUUCUGCAUGUUUACUGAAGAAGGGGAAAAGUGAAAGAAGUUUUGACAUAAAAAAUUUUACUGCAUUAAAAGUUGCAUAUCUGGAAUAUUAGCAUGGCACGUCGGCUCCAUUGUUUUCAACAAUCUUUACAAGACUUGUGAUUUUAGUUUCUAUUGCAUUGGAUCAAUGUAUAUUAGCCUUUGAUUCAGUUCCUGUUUAUAGCAUUAAGAGGGGGCAUUAUAGAGAGAAGAAGGCUGCUGAACUUGCAAGAGUAAUAGUAGAAGGAUGCUUUUAACUUUUUAUCUUCGUCUUUUUUGUUGGUUUAAGUAGACAAUAUAUAUUUCAACUCAAUGACUUAUUUCCUGAUACUCUUCUUAAUAGUUGUAUUUUUUUUUUUACUUUUUGCUGCAUCCAAGUGAUAGAGCUAGUAGACCCGUUUCACAGACGGAUGCAAGAUCUUCUGCCGCUAGUAAUCCCAUUGACAGCCAUUGAGAUUCAUUUUAAUUGAAGUGGAUGUAUUUGGACAAUGUAAUAGCUGACUAAUAUAGAUGAUUAACUAUGCUCUAACUUAGCUUGAUGACAUAUGAUACUACUCUGUCCCAGUAUU